rnacentral:tRNA from 1 species
UGCGUUGUGGCUCAGUGGUAGAGUACACGCCUAGAAUGAGUGGGGCACUGGGUUCGAUCCUCAGCACCAUAU